AUAACACUUUCAUUUCACUUUUCAAGUUCUCUGUACACAUUGAUUAUGUUUAACGAGACCGUGUGCUUUCUUCAAUAACAUUUAGACCUGACAGUGUUCUGUGUGCACUAAAACAUGGAGACCCGGGUGGAGACCUGGCCUGGCCUCUGUCUGGAAAACUCCAUGCCUGCAUCUGAAUGUCAGUGCUCAGAUGUCUGGGGUCUGGGGCUGAGGUGGGCUUCUCUGGGGAACCGUGCUCUUCUCUGAGUGGGGUUCCAUGGCCCUCCCAGGGGUCAAUGCUACGGUAGAGCUCUUAGCCUUUUCUCCCUGCUAGGUUCACCUUCCUGGGCUCCUGAAGACUCCUCAGGUGGGCUACCUGGUAAUUAUUGCAAUUUUCCAGCACAUUCAGGUUGAGUAGGGAGGCAGGUUCACCUGGUGAAUUGAUUCCAGGGCACAUGGAUCAGGCAAAGGCCAAUGGGCAGCAGGUGAGGUUGCUGCUGUGACCUUCCAGUCGACUCUCCUCUGAAGAGAACAGAGCUGCCCCUCAUCUUUCAGCCCAGCUCUCCUGUUUUCUCAGCACCUCAGCGGAACAAGAAAGACAGAGCCUGCCAGAACCAAGUCGACCUUCCCUACUCAGCAGAGACCAGACCUGCCCCUCGUCUCCCAGCCCUGUGUCUGGUGUGUUUUCUCAGCACAUCAGUGAACCAAGAAAGGACUGAGCCUGCGAGAACUAAGUCGGCCGUCCCUACUCAGCAGAGACCAGACCUGCCCCUUGUCUCCCAGCCCUGCGCCUGGUGUGUUUUCUCAAUACCUCAGUGGAACGAGAAAGGACCGAGCCUGCCAGAACCAAGGGGGUUACAGGAACCCACUCAUUUCCACCUUAGAAGCCCAACCAGCAGAAACCUGGGGUCCUAACCAAGGGUCGUUGGACGCCAGGUCCUGGGUCUGGGGAGGUGGUGUCACCUUGGAGAGAGUGGAAGUGUGCCCCACGUGCAGAGUCUGGGGAUUGUGUGGGUCUCACCCCAUCCACACGGGUUACAUAUCUACUCUUUACCUGCAGUGUGUCUGUCAGGGAUUCCCAACAUCUGAAUUGAGGGUGUUGCCCUGAUUAACCUGUGGUCCUUUUCCUUCUCUUCGCUUUGUCAUGUUCACAUGAGGUCAGGCACCUUUGAGUGGGUUGCUGCUCUGUGUUCUGAGUGUAAACCUUUGGUGGUGUCAUAUUAAUAUCAUAGCAUAUCCCAUAUCUAAUUCAUAGAGAUACCACUGUCUGGUUUCCCCUCCACCAAGCUC
rnacentral:lncRNA from 1 species